rnacentral:rRNA from 1 species
UACGUAGGGUGCAAGCGUUGUCCGGAAUUAUUGGGCGUAAAGAGCUCGUAGGUGGUCUGUCGCGUCGGCUGUGAAAACUCGGGGCUCAACCCCGAGCCUGCAGUCGAUACGGGCAGACUUGAGUGCGGUAGGGGAGACUGGAAUUCCUGGUGUAGCGGUGAAAUGCGCAGAUAUCUGGAGGAACACCGGUGGCGAAGGCGGCAUCCUGGACCGGUAUUGACGCUGAGGCGCGAAAGCCAGGGGAGCAAACAGG